UCCCCAGCUCUCCUCCUAUGACACACCUAUGCACAGAGUCAGGGCUGCAGCCUUCCCUUCCAGUGCUCACCUAAUCCAGCUACCUGUCCAUACACAUCCUGGAUAAGUUAAGCACGUGAAAAGGUUCAGCCCUCUUUUCCUAACAUGGAAACUACCAUCUUCAUUCUCUGCUCGCUUCUGUUCAUGUGCUGGCAAAGAGAAAUGAGGAAAUCCUGGUUGUUCCACAGCAUCUAAGCCUUCGUAAAACUAUAAAACUCUACAAAGUCGUAAUAUGCAAAGAAAAACACCAGGACAAAUUGAGAGACAACACACAGAAGAAAGGAAAACCUUUAUAUGUACCACGAAUGGCACUUUUUUUUUCUGAUCUUUGAACAGGGGGCCCUGCAUUUUCAUCUUCACUGGGUCUGCAAAUUGUGUAGCCAGCCCUGCCUACAGGAGACGGGUGAUAAAUGAAAUUCUGUCUAA